GAAAUGCGAUAAGUAAUGUGAAUUGCAGAAUUCAGUGAAUCAUCGAAUCUUUGAACGCACAUUGCGCCCUCUGGUAUUCCGGGGGGCACACCUGUUCGAGCGUCAUUUCAACACUCAAGCCUAGCUUGGUAUUGAGCGCCGCCCUACCGGCGCGCUUUAAACCCCUCGGCGUCGCCGUCUGUCCCCAAGCGCAGCGAGAUUUAUUUCAGCGUGAGGAUCGGGCCGUGUCCGCCGGAGAACACCCUUUAUUUUCUAAGGUUGACCUCGGAUCAGGUGGGGAUACCCGCUGAACUUAA
rnacentral:misc_RNA from 1 species